ACUCGAGUGGCGAACGGGUGAGUAACACGUGGGUGAUCUGCCCUGCACUUUGGGAUAAGCCUGGGAAACUGGGUCUAAUACCGAAUAUGACCAUGCGCCUCCUGGUGUGUGGUGGAAAGCUUUUGCGGUGUGGGAUGGGCCCGCGGCCUAUCAGCUUGUUGGUGGGGUAAUGGCCUACCAAGGCGACGACGGGUAGCCGGCCUGAGAGGGUGACCGGCCACACUGGGACUGAGAUACGGCCCAGACUCCUACGGGAGGCAGCAGUGGGGAAUAUUGCACAAUGGGCGCAAGCCUGAUGCAGCGACGCCGCGUGAGGGAUGACGGCCUUCGGGUUGUAAACCUCUUUCAGCACAGACGAAGCGCAAGUGACGGUAUGUGCAGAAGAAGGACCGGCCAACUACGUGCCAGCAGCCGCGGUAAUACGUAGGGUCCGAGCGUUGUCCGGAAUUACUGGGCGUAAAGAGCUCGUAGGUGGUUUGUCGCGUUGUUCGUGAAAACUCACAGCUUAACUGUGGGCGUGCGGGCGAUACGGGCAGACUUGAGUACUGCAGGGGAGACUGGAAUUCCUGGUGUAGCGGUGGAAUGCGCAGAUAUCAGGAGGAACACCGGUGGCGAAGGCGGGUCUCUGGGCAGUAACUGACGCUGAGGAGCGAA
rnacentral:rRNA from 1 species